rnacentral:rRNA from 1 species
UAGUCAAAGCAGAAAAUGAUGAAUGUCAUAGAUUUAAAAUAGUUUAUUCUAUAAAUGAAAAUGUAAGCAUUCCACCUCAAGAGUAAUUUGGCAACAUUGGAACUGAAAUCAUUAGACCGUUUCUGAAACCAGUAGUGAAGUAUGUUGUUUAAUUUGAUGAUCCGCAAAAAACCUUACCACAAUUUGAAUAUUUAUAUCUAUCUUCUUUUUUCGUAAGAAAAUAAAAAGGUAAUAUAUUUACGGUUGCACGGCUGUCUUCAGUUAAUGUCGCGAGACUUUGGUUAGUUCCAUUAAAUUAACGUAAACCCUUACUUUAUUUUUAUAUAAAGUAGUUCCCCGCUAUAUUGGAUAU